rnacentral:rRNA from 1 species
AUGGGGCGUACUGGCAUCGGCGUGCUCCAUCGCCGCCCCGGACACACAACGGCGACGCCACGACCAAUGAGAUCCGCGCGAGGAGGGAGGUGCAUUAGGGGGGAUUCGGGCUGCUCACCGGCCAAGCCCUCCGACGAGCGGCCAGACCCAGGCGAGGUGGAUUUCAUGGUGUUAUUGCUAGGAGUGGUCUUUUUGGUUCUACGAGAACCUAAUGUCCAAGACUUCAGGUUAAGUUCAGCCGCCCUGCGAGCAAGAGCACCAUGUACCUCUACUACGAGGGCAUGCCAGAUUCUCCACAAGCUCAGCCGCGAGUCACACGACAUCCUCUGCAGGAACUGUAACCACUUCUACUAUGUGCUCUGCCAUAAUCUCGGCAUCCCCAAGCUUCCAAGUAAGGGAAACAAUCUGAAUUAUGGCGAGGACUGGAAUUAUGUGCUCAUGAGGCUGUUACCUCAAACGCUGCGCCAGUUUUUUAGGUUGGUAAUGCGUGUCUUGCACAAGAUAAUUACCGUGUUGAUGGAUCAUAUAGCAGGUUCAAUGUGCAGUUUUAAAUUUCUUUAG